rnacentral:rRNA from 1 species
GCANUCGANGGAAAGGCCUCUUUCGGGGGGUACUCGAGUGGCGAACGGGUGAGUAACACGUGAGUAACCUGCCCUUGACUUUGGGAUAACUUCAGGAAACUGGGGCUAAUACCGGAUAGGAGCUCCUGCUGCAUGGUGGGGGUUGGAAAGUUUCGGCGGUUGGGGAUGGACUCGCGGCUUAUCAGCUUGUUGGUGGGGUAGUGGCUUACCAAGGCUUUGACGGGUAGCCGGCCUGAGAGGGUGACCGGCCACAUUGGGACUGAGAUACGGCCCAGACUCCUACGGGAGGCAGCAGUGGGGAAUAUUGCACAAUGGGUGGAAGCCUGAUGCAGCAACGCCGUGUGCGGGAUGACGGCCUUCGGGUUGUAAACCGCUUUCGCUCAUGACGAAGCUUUGUGUGACGGUAGUGGGUAAAGAAGCACCGGCUAACUACGUGCCAGCA